rnacentral:lncRNA from 1 species
AUGGAGCAGCUAUGGAUCGAGGGCAUCCGAAGGAAACUGAGAAUAGAAAAAGAUUCCCGUGUUUCCACAGAUAUCAAAAUUGUUCAUGGGGACAAGAAAACGGAGUUUAUGGAGAACUAUGUAGAAGAACUACAGAAGAAAACAAAGACCUUUUUCUUGGCAGCAAAACAGAGCAGCAAAAAUUAUUAUUUCCAUGCCUGUGAAAGAGGCAACAAACCAACAGGAAAAAGCAUGGGCAAGGCAUGUGAAACAAGGGCCAAUUCCUGUGAAGCCUAUGUGUCAUUUAAAUUUAUAGAGGAGACCGGUUUCACAGCAGUAGUAGUUCGGCAGCAAUUAACACACACAGGACAUGAUUUGUCAAACCCUGAAGAGAGGAAGAAAAAUGCAAUUAAUCCAGAAUUGUUAGGAUUUGUCGAAAUAUGGCUCACACAAGGUCUAUCCAUAUCACAGAUUGUCAUAAAAAGUUGUGAUUGGGCAUGUAGUCGGGGUUACACCGAUAAGCAUGACAGACGUUUCUUCCUAACUCCAGAAGAUGUAAGGUUGGUAAAACGCCAUCUCCGCAUCUUCACUUUGCCGGACAUUAAUGAUGCUGUGAGUGUGGAAAAGCUGGUGACAGGUGAACUGAAAGAAAAUAUUUGCUUUUUUCAACCUUUGACAAAAGACCAGCCACUGGUUAUUGUUGUCCAGACACCACAACAGAAGGCUCUACUCCAAGAGAACCCCCACCCCAUGGUUUUUAUGGAUGCAUCCUACAAAGGUUUGACAUCAUAUGGGUAUGCACUGUAUGCCCUUGUACUUGUCAAUCAAACUGGAAGAGGAGUGCCAUUUGCGUACCUAAUAAUGAGCCAGGAAUCCUCAGCAAUAGUUGAGCUUUGCUUGAACAUGCUUUGUUCAAGAAAUCCAAACUUUUACCCAAGGUCAGUUAUGAUCGACAGAGACUUAAAAGAGCUCAAUGCCAUAAGAGAAGUUUUCCCCAAAACCAAAGUUCUCCUCUGUUGGUUUCAUGUUCUCCAGGCUGUACAUCGCUGGGUUACAUCAAGAGAUGGUGGGAACCUGUCACCUGACAAAAGACAUGUCGUCAUUCAUGCCAUGACCUCAAUGAAAGCUUGCAUGACGGAGGAAGAUUUUGUGACCGUUUCCACUAGUGUGUGCAAUGACCUUGAUGCCCAGCUUGGCAGCAAUCGAGUGACAACAUACCUGAAGGUGCACUGGCUUCCACAUGCAGCACUAUGGGCCAAUUUUGGACGACUAUUUGAGCACAACAACAGCGACACCAACAACAAGGCAGAGAGGUUUUUUCUUGCGCUGAAAUACUAG